AGGCGGCGAACGGGUGAGUAACACUGUGGGUGAUCUGCCUCGCACUUCGGGAUAAGCCUGGGAAACUGGGUCUAAUACCGGAUAUGACCUGCUGUCGCAUGGCGGUGGGUGGAAAGAUUUAUCGGUGCGAGAUGGGCCCGCGGCCUAUCAGCUUGUUGGUGGGUAAUGGCCUACCAAGGCGACACGGGUAGCCGACCUGAGAGGGGUGACCGGCCACACUGGGACUGAGACACGGCCCAGACUCCUACGGGAGGCAGCAGUGGGGAAUAUUGCACAAUGGGCGAAAGCCUGAUGCAGCGACGCCGCGUGAGGGAUGACGGCCUUCGGGUGUAAACCUCUUUCGACAGGGACGAAGCGCAAGUGACGGUACCUGUAGAAGAAGCGGCCAACUACGUGCCAGCAGCCGCGGUAAUACGUAGGGUGCGAGCGUUGUCCGGAAUUACUGGGCGUAAAGAGCUUGUAGGCGGUUUGUCGCGUCGUCUGUGAAAACUCACAGCUCAACUGU
rnacentral:rRNA from 1 species